AUGUAGCUCUUUGGACGAUUCGCCCAAAAUAUAGGACGCACAUCCUCCUUGACACGGAAAAUAUUUGCAGGACGUCUCCAAGGCAAUGGCCUAGAAAUUUUGGACUCUUCGAUUAAUCCAAGAUUCAUCAAAAUGGCCAAUGCUGAUUUCUCCAUGUUCAAUGUAUAAAGAUGCAAGGUCUUGAUGCCAGUGGCUAAAAUCUUUUUGCACAUCUCAGUUCCAAGGUGAAUUCCAUAGGCUUUGACAGCCUCUUCAUUGUCCUUAAUAGGUUCCAAUGCAGCCAUUAUCUCAUCCGGAAUCUUAG
rnacentral:misc_RNA from 1 species